rnacentral:rRNA from 1 species
CCAGACUCCUACGGGAGGCAGCAGUGGGGAAUAUUGCACAAUGGGGGAAACCCUGAUGCAGCGACGCCGCGUGAGCGAGGAAGUAUUUCGGUAUGUAAAGCUCUGUCAGCAGGGAAGAAGAAUGACGGUACCUGAAGAAGAAGCACCGGCUAAAUACGUGCCAGCAGCCGCGGUAAUACGUAUGGUGCAAGCGUUAUCCGGAUUUACUGGGUGUAAAGGGAGCGCAGGCGGUUCUGCAAGUCUGAUGUGAAAGCCCGGGGCUCAACCGCGGGACUGCUCUGGAAACUGCGUCGCUGGAGUACGGGAGGGGCAGGCGGAAUUCCUGGUGUAGCGGUGAAAUGCGUAGAUAUCAGGAGGAACACCGGCGGCGAAGGCGGCCUGCUGGACCGUGACUGACGUUGAGGCUCGAGAGCGUGGGGAGCAAACAGGAUUAGAUACCCUGGUAGU